GGCCCCAGUGUGUGAUGUUCCCCUUCCUGUGUCCAUGUGUUCUCAUUGUUCAAUUCCCACCUAUGAGUGAGAACAGACCCAGCACUUGUUUUACGACAGUGAAUGCCUGAAGUGUUGGUCACCGAUCAUGAUUGAACGUUGUUUGUAAUCUUAUAUCUCAAGUGAAUUGCGUGUCGAAAAUCACGUUAUUCAGUCCAAUUCUGUUCCUAGUAUUUUGCAUAAGUUUCCCUUGAAAUUUAUAGGGAAUAUUCAAUUUAAAAAUGAGUAAAUUCAUGGUCAGAUUGAAUGCGUUCAGUUUUCUGGAAUGAAUGACAUUUGCAGGUCACGUUGCACAGUUUUAUUUUAAAACCAUAAUUGUGUAUUUAAUAUACUGUUUUUCUUUAAAUUUGGCUUUGGGCCUCAUUUCCAGGUGUUCUCCCGCAGAAAACAUGAUGUGUGUAGUUUUUAUAUGCAAACGAGUUAAAGAAGAGUGAUCUAGAGCCAGGCUGGUCAAGACAAGAAUUGGCUGGAAUAGGCUGCUCUUCCCCCAUUCCAUCAUGUGCUGUCCCCACCCCUUUGGCCACCUGGGCUGACUGUGUCUUAAUACCUCAAGUGCAAGUAUAUAGGAGUAAGAAAUGAACAAUGCCUGCCUCCUUAUACUCAUGCCUACAUUGUAUGACAUCUAGUAUGAAAGGGAAACAUUAAAGGAAAACCCUUGUUUUGCUCUAAAACCUGAGGACGGUAAACACUGAGAGUAACCUGGUGCUUGGUUUGAAGUAAAACACAAAUACUUCCCUUUUAUAAUGGUGAUGGUUGUGUUUGCUUAUUAGCCUUUUUGCUGGUUAAUUCUUGAUACUGACUAGAAAUGUGUAUAUUGCUUCUUGAAAUGAUUUAAUGACUUCUAUAUUGGUGAACAUGGACGUUCUCUAAGUAUAAUCCACUUAUAUUAUAUUUACAAAUCAGUAAGAUUGAUUGCUGGUAUUUGGAUUUUGUGUUAUCUGUGUAUUUGUUACUGGCAGGAAUGCAAAUUUGAGAAAUUAGGAUGCUAACUAGCCUCAUUAAUCUUGGCUUUUCAGGCAGAGCCCUGGACCUUGAACAAUAUCUCCUUAUGGAAUGAAGAACUUGUAUUACAUACCCGUUGCCCAUAGUAUCCUAAAGGACCUGUGGUGGGAAUGUCCAGGACUGGUCAGCCUGUGAGCCUGUAACAUGGAUACAGUGGAGCCAGAACAAACUGUCCAGAACAGCCAGACAAUAACAGUCAGCAGCAAGAUGAACUGGACAGUCAAAAAUAAACUCCAGGAAUGAAAAGAUUGUGGGAGUGCUACUCAGGUGUCUUAUGUCUGGUGUAAAAACAUGGAUCUGAAGGGCCAGCAAGCUUCCUCAGGGAUUACUGAGGCAUCUCCUUGGAAACCAUACCUCAUUAAUCCUGCUGUGAAGUAAGAGGCAGCCAGGACCCCAAGCUUUUCCUUUUUCUGAGCCACAUUCUGUUCUGGCCAGCUCGGACACCUUACAUGGAGGCUGACAGGGCUCAACACCCAGCACCCAUCAGGACUCACUACCGUCUGUAAACUGAGCAGCCUGGAGGGAGCCUGUUGACUAGCAGUGCCAGAGAGGUCUCUUCUCUUUCUUUGCCUAUGUAAAGUAAUUUCUUUUAGGUGUGGUGAUUAAUUUAUUGAAAUUCAGGUGAAGACAUUUGACAAUUUGACAGAGAGAAGAAAAGUGCUAGAUGGAAAUAUGCACUCUUCUCAAAUGUUCUCAAAGAGACUUUUAACCUUUAGUCCCAGUAGAUACUUCUCGUUUGGUUUCUCUACCUUUCUCUUGACACAAUUUUCAUUCAGAAGGUGGCAUCACAGAACCUGAAGCCACACACCUUAGGUCAAAUUCCACACUUCCUUUUGAAUAGACACUAAAAUGUCUAGCCUUUAUCCAACACAGUGACAUUCACACUCUUCUGAUUUAUCCCUGUAUUUUGUUAAGUUACUUUAAAUCCUUGGAUGAUGAGGGUCAUUGUUAUUUGCCACCCAAUGAAAAACUGAGACCUGAGAUAUACAUAGAAAAGCUUUACCCCAAACCUAUGUUUCUUAACCAAAUAAUGUGAUAGUGACCUAGAGUGGCUUAUUUCCUAGUCAAAAGUAGGUGUGAAACAAGGUGACUGUGACUCCUCUCUGUUACACACGCGUGUGUUGUGCCCUCUGCCCCUGCAAUGGCACAGUCAUCUUAAGUCACUUCACUGUUGUGGAAGAGACUGUGGGGAAAACCUAAAUGAUGGUUUAGUUGGUAAUUCUACUGACUAUUGGCAUUUUAAAAUUUGGGGUUUAAAAAAAUUGUUUGUGGAAAUGGGGUCUUGCUGUGUUGCCCAGUCUGGCUCCAAACUCCUGGGCUCAAACAAUCCUUCCUCAGCCUCCCAAAAGUCUGGGAUUACAGGCAUCAGCCAUUAUGCCUGGCUCUAUUGGCACUUUAGAAGCAUUCAUAAAGUAGGGGGAUCCAAAAAGGUGUCUCUCUGGUGACAGUUUCAGGGAUCAGGAUGCUGGAUGAAAAAGAAAGUGGGCCUCCUCUGAAUUUAAAGUGGGACCUUGCCCCUUAGAUCCUUCCCAGGAGUUCAUUCCUAGGCCAGCACAGGCAGUCUCAUCAGGCAUGUAGUCAAUGAAUGACUGUUCACUAAUGGGAAUGUUAAUGUGCUACAAAUUUUCGUGUGAAGUGUUCCAUGUCAAACUCACAUUUGCCUUAACAUGUUUUUUCACGCCUCUUAUUUCAUGGAAAUAAGAGGCCUCUUAUGUCAUGGAAAGGGAAUGCAUGAUAAUGGACACUUUAAAGCAAGGCUUUGGACUGAAAGUCUAUGGGUUAUAUAUGUAGGAGGCAAUUUAUUUCACUAGUAUUCACUCAAACAGAAAAACAAAUAUGAAGACUGAUAUUUUUAUCUUUUUUUAAAAUGACAUUUUGGGUUACAGAUAUAAUACGUGCUCAUGUACAAAGUAGAGAGAUUUCAGGAGAAUAUAAUGAAAUCAAAUUCACUAAAAAUCUGUCUACAUAGAAUUACACUCACUGUGACCAUUUUGGAUCAUUUCCAGUUAGGCUGUUCCUUGACAAUACCCAUUUUUAAAAAAUUAGGACUCUUGACAUUAAUUUUUAUCAAGUAAAUUUAUGCUCUCACACUCAGAAAUUUGAAAAAGUCUUUGAUACAAUUUUUUUUUUAUUUUGUAGUCAUGAGAAAGGGACAUUUUUAUCCCUGGGAAUUGAAGGCUUGUCUCUCCUAACUUAAAUGCCAACUUGAGUCUUCUUAGUGCCCAACAUGUUAUUUUGGAGCAUAAGGGCCAGCCACAAGUGGGAGAUAUUAGCCAGUGAGAAAAAUGCAACUGAUUGUAUUCCUUGUUAUACUAGUUCCCUGUUAAAUGCAUCCAGUAGUGUAACUGGGACAACAAUGGUCAUUUUGAGAGACAUCUUAUUCUACUAGAAAGGAAGAUAUAAUGGCGAUGGUGAUGAUGAGAGUGGUGGUAAUGAUGCUAAAACAAAUCAGCCAAAGCUACCACUGAUAAAAUCCUUACUAAAACCGAGAAGUUUCUUAUCUAAUCCUAUAAAAAUGUGUAUUAAAUACUGCUAUUUUCUCUGUUUUUCAAAGAACAUUAAUGACUACAGAACAUAUACUUACCUUGACAUGGCAUCACAGCCAAAAUAUUGUGAGUGCUGGUGGAGAGGGACUCAGAUCUAGGUUUUAACUGGCCUUGAAUUCUGUGGGAUUUAUCAUAAGCUGUAAGAAGCCUUUUAAAGUAUGUUUUUGUUGCUAGAAAAAAGCAUUAGUUACCCCAACCUCUAUCUCCUCUUCACUUUCCAGUCAAUAUAAUUGUCCAGAGGACACACAAGGUGAUUUUGCAGUUGUAGAGAUAACAGAUGGUAAAAAUGCUUGUGAAAAGAAGGGACAAUAUGUUUUGAAGUAAAUGGAUUUCAUGGAUCCCCAGCCAUUUUAUCUGUUGUUUUAAUAACAAGAAUUAUAGAGGUUAGAGGCUCAGAAAAGGGGAAGGGCUUCUCUGAUCAGGAAAGAUGGAGUGACACAUCUUCCCUUCACCAGGGGCCUACAGGCUAGAGGUGGGAAAGGGGCUGUAAGCAGUGGCAUUGUGUGGAGCUGCUUCCUAGAGGUUGAGGCCAAGGGACUCUGGUGGGAAAGUUGCCCUGGGCACUCUGCAUUCAAGGGAGUGUUUCCUACUCCCUUCUCCAUGCCUGGCACCACAACAAAGCAUAUUGUUGAGUGUAACGUGAGAAGUAUACCUUUUGGCAAAGACAGGACUUUUAUGAUGGGGAUAGAACCUUACUUUCCAUUAUCCUUGAGAAUUCCAGACUUGGCUACUGGUGAAGGCUUAGCUUCUGUGUAUACCCUUAGCCUGUGAAAAAUGGCUCAGGAAAAGGUGAGCUAUACCUCUUUUACUGUAGCUUAGUAGAGCAAUCUGAGGGAGAUAUCUGAGAAGCAACUGCGAGUGUUUCUGGGAAGCUGUCAGUCUUGGUUGAGUUGAGCACACAGUCUUUCAUAUCUGUAGUGAGCUGUGUUCACCAGCAGAGAAUUAGGAAAGUGACAUGCUGUUGCUGAUAUGUUCUUCUAACAUAUGACCCAGUAACUUUUUUCUUCCAUGCUCCAAUGGUUCGAAUGCCUGUGCAAGGUAAUACAGGAAACACACACUGGCAUUGGCAGCAUUCUGGGCACGGGAAAUUUGGGGUCUAGAGAAGAAACUGGUGAUGGCCUUCUGUCAGGAUUCUGUGCUCAGACACUAAUGUGCUGAACUGCAUGGUUUCCACUGUGAAGAGGAAUGGCAUGUCAGGCAUCAUGAGGACCCCUGAUUCAGUGAAUAGGAACGCAGUUGAAGUUUAUUCAAGCAUUUCUCUGUUUUAGCUUCUUGCACUCUUCCAUUGAUCAUACUCUGCACAUUGGUGGGGACAGAAAAGUCAUGUGGUUCCUGUCAAUGACCAGUACAUGAAGCUGGUGAAAUUUUGAUCCUCAUAGGUAUCUGUAGAAGAGCCUGAGUGUUCAGGAAGCUCCCAUGUCAGGUAUCCAGGCUAGCAGCUUAAUCUCUCCUAUUCCUCAUGCUGAAAAUGGCACCUACCUCAAGGCUGUAGGUGUCAGUUUCCCUGUUUAUAAGCUGUUGCCACUUGGUGAUCUGACCCAUCUGCCAUUUGGUCCUCUCAGAGGGGAAAUUACAUGGUCUCAAAAUGACCUUGCCUGUGCUUUCAAGCAGAGAGUGUUACAGACACAACCGUGAGGGAUUUAUACAUCUUGUAUAGUACUCCAGCUACUGCAGCUGUUACAGGAUAAGGGGAAGCCACAGUUUGAGGAGGGGAGGGCACACUGCUUUCCGUAUUUCAGGCUACCUAAGAAUUCAAGCAGGAAUGCAAGGAAUCUCCAGAAUAUGACAGAGGAAAACAAUGCACAUCGAUAAAUGUCCUAUGAGCAUAUAUGGCCCAUUGCAAAGUUGAGACAUUGAUGAAAGGGACAGGUCAUUAUUUUCCAUAUCCUCAGUGAAUGAUGGGCUUCUAUAUGGUCACGUAGUUCAAUAAUGUGAUGGACUUCUGCAAAGUUACUGCUGUCACUUUUGCUGAUGCUGUUGUAUCCUCACUGAUGCCAUACACUGUAGGCACUCAUCUUGGUCAUAAUCCAGAGUGUUCUCCCAUAGGUUUAUUGCAAGUCGUGAGCACUACCUGUGAUACGCAUUUCCCGUUAUCUUACUCAAGAGGGCUGAGCUGAGAUGCUCGUUUCAACUGCUUAAGUUAUUUUCUCUUUACCUAGUGCUCAUGCAGGUCAUACAUUUUUGCCGCCAAUCCUUUUCCACAAUUAGAAAAGAAGAGGGCACAGAAGUUUCUCUACUUCAGGCUACCUAACAGGUCAAGCAGGAAUGUCAAGAAUCUGCUGCAUAUGAGGAAAACACAGACAGUUCAAGGACUAGGGACUUUGAUAUGAAAGUUGCAGUGGGCACUAGGGUUCAGGGAAGUGCCCCCAAUUCCCUUUUUCCCUUCCCUCACAGUACAUUUGGAGUACCAUGACUGGAGGACACAGGACAACAUUGCACAUCCACAGAUGUCAUACGAGCAUACAUGGCCCACUGGCAAACGUCAGGCAUGAAUGAUGGGGACAGGUUAUUUUCCAUUUUCCCAGUGUGUGGUGGACUUGUCUGUUGGUGAAGGCAUUGCUGCCUCAGCCUUCUUCUGUGUAUUACUUUAGGCCUGUAAAAAAUGGCCACAGAGGUAGGUGACCCUUCACUCAAUUAUACUGUUACAUAGUACUAUAAUGUGGAGAACUUCUGCAAAGUUACUACUGUUGCUUUUGCUGAUGCUGUUGUAUCCACACGAAUGGGAUGCACUGUAUGCCCUCAUCUUGGUCAUAAUCCAGGGUGUUCUCCAAUAGCUUUAUUUCAAGUCUUGAGCACUGCCUGUGAUACGCAUUUCCCGCUAUCAUUCUCAGGAGGGCUGAGCUGAGAUGCUGGUUUCAACUGCUUAAGUUAUUUUCUCUUUACUUAGUUCUCAUGCAGGCCAAACAUUUUUGCUGUCAAUCCUUUUCCACAAUUUGAGCAGGGGAGGGCAGAGGGUUUCCCUGCUUCAGGCUACCUAACAGGUCAAGCAGACAUGUCAAGAAUCUCCUGCAUAUGAGGAAAAUACAGACAGUUUAGAGGACUAGGGACUUUGAUGUGAUAGUUACAGUGGGCAUUAGGGUUCAGCGAAGUGCCUCCUGUCCCUUUUCCUCUUCCCUGACAGUACCUUUGGAGCAACAUGGCUGGAGGACACAGGACAACAAUGCAUAUCGACCGAUGUGACAUGAACAUACAUGGUCCAGUGGCAAACAUCAGAAAUGGAUGAUGGGGACAGAUUCUUAUUUUCCCUUUUUCCGGUGACUGGUGGGCUUGUCUGCUGGUGAAGGCGUUGUGCCUCAGCCUUCUUCUGUUUAUUGCUUUAGGCCUUUGAAAAAUGGCUACAGACGUACGAGGCCAUUCACCCUAUUAUAUUGUAAUAUAAUACUAUAAUGUGGAGGACUUCUGAAAAGUUACUGCUGUUGCUUUUGCUGAUGCUUUUGUAUCCUCAUCGAUGCAAUGCACUGUGUGCCUUCAUCUUGGUGAUAAUCCAGGGUGUUUUCCCAUAGCUUCAUUGCAAUCUUGAGCACUGCCUGUGAUAUGCAUUUCCCGCUAUCUUUCUCAGGAGGGCUAAGCUGAGAUGUUGGUUUCAACUGCUUAAGUUAUUUUCUCUUUACCUAGUUCUCAUGCAGGCCAUACAUUUUUGCAGCCAAUCCUUUUCCACAAUGUAAGAAGAGGAGGGCACAGGGGUUUCCCUAGUUCAGGCUACCUAACAGGUCAAGCAGGAAUGUCAAGAAUCUCCUGCAUAUGAGGAAAAUACAGACAGUUCAGAAGACAAGGGUAUUUGAUGGGAAAGUUGCAGAGGGCAUUAGGGUUCAGCGAAGUGCCUCCUGUCCCGUAUCCCCUGACCUUACAGUACCUUUGGAGCAGCAUGGCUAGAGGACACAGGACAACAAUGCAUAUCGACUGAUGUGAUAUGAGCAUACAUGGUCUACUGGCAAACGUCACACAUGGAUGAUGGGGGCAGGUUCUUAUUUUCCAUUUCCCACUGAGUGGUGGGCUUGUCUGUUGGUGAAGGCGUUGCUGCAUCAGCCUUCUUUUGUGUAUUGCUAAAGGCCUGUGAAAAAUGGCCACAGAGAUAGGUGACCCUUCACUCACUUAUAUUGUUACACAGUACUAUAAUGUGGAGGACUCCUGCAAUGUUACUGCUCUUGCUUUUGCUGAUUUGUUGUAUCCAUACUGAUGCGACGCACUAUGUGCCUUCACCUUGGUGAUAAUCCAGGGUGUUUUCCUAUAGCUUUUUUGCAAGUCUUGAGCACUGCCUGUGAUACACAUUUCCCUCUAUCUUUCUCAGGAGGGCUGAGCUGAGAUCCUGGUUUCAACUGCUUAAGUUAUUUUCUCUUUACCUAGUUCUUGUGCAGGCCAUACAUUUUUGCUGCCAAUCCUUUUCCACAAUUUGAGAAGAGGAGCGGGUUUCCCUACUUCAGUCUACCUAACAGUUCAAGCAGGAAUGUCAAGAAUCUCCUGCACAUGAGGAAAAUACAGACAGUUCAGAGGACAAGGGUCUUUGAUGUGAACGUUGCAAUGGGCAUUAGGAUUCAGGGAAGUGCCUUCUGUCCUUUUUCCCCUUUCUCACAGUACCUUUGGAGCAGCAUACCUGGAGGACACAGGACAACAAUGCACAUCAAAGGCUGUGAUAUGUGCAUAUAGUGCCCACUGGCAAACGUCACACAUGGAUGAUGGGGACAGGUUGUUAUUUUCCGUUUUCCCAGUGAGUGGUGGCCUUGUCUGUUGGUGAAGGCGUUGCUGCCUCAGCCUUCUUCUGUGUAUUGCUUUAAGCCUGUGAAAAAUGGCCACAGAGGUAGGUGGCGCUUCUCCCUCUUAUAUUGUUACAUAGUGCUAUAAUGUGGAGGACUUCUGCAAAGUUACUGCUGUUACUUUUGCUGAUGCUGUUGUAUCCUCACUGAUAGGCUGUAUACCCUCAUCUUGUUAAUAAUCCAGGGUGUUCUCUUGUAGCUUUAUUGGCAUUCUGGACACUGCCUGUGAUGUGCAUUUCCUUCUAUGUUUCUCAGGAGGGCUGAGCUGAGGUUCUAGUUUCAACUGCUUAAGUUUCCUCUUUACCUUGUUCUCAUGCCUGCCAAUUAUUUUGGCUGCCUGUCCCCUUUUAUUCAUGAUUGUAAAAUUGGCAAGAGGCUUACUUAGCUUUCAAAAAGAUUUGCAUGCUUUGCAAAGAAGCAGAGGAAGAAUUUACAAGUUUUCCAAAGUAAAUCUUCUUAAAAAAGGGAAUUGUUAGGUCUAUUCUUUUUUCACCAGGGAGAUUUAAACUUUUAUUUCUUAUUUUCCUUUGUAUUUGCCCUUUCAACAUGCUGCCAUGUGAUACCAGUUCCCCCAAUUUGCCCUUCACAAUGAUGACUCCUGUGUCCUUGCUCAAGCCAGGCAUGUGCAGAGAAGUUCCUCAUGUGGGACUUGUGCAAACAGGACCUCAAGGACAAAUAAUAAGUAUGAGCACUUGCCCAUUUUCUAGCCUGUGCAUGCUUUUACCCAUACCAGUGUUUUUAUGAAGGGUUCUUUAUAACCAGUUGGAGUGAGGAAUCAAACCAUUAGCCUUGUUUACAGAUGGCUUAAAUUGACAUGUUGAUGUCAAUGGUCUGUUGACAAGUGGGGCUGUACAAUUUAUCUCAUAUCCUCCUGUCCUUGAGUCCUAAAUGAGCAGAGGUUUGGUUUCCUGUAGUAGACAGACAUUUACUUUGUAUGACUUGUUAUAUCUACCGCCUGAUAGAAUUUUUGGCUGUAGAUGAGGACCCAGUUCCUCUCUUCUGGAUAUUUAGUGCAUGGGCCUCUCCAAAAGGUAUGAAAGAAUGUGCAAAAUGUAUGCACUCCCAUACAGUUUGAAUCAGUUCCUCCAGAUCCCUCUGGAUUGGAGUUUGUCCUCUCAGCCCAUUGUGCUGACUCCAGUCAUGCAGUAUAUGGAUUGCUGACAGCUGCCAGGGUGGCCACCCAACAGUUUAGAUUUGUGUUGGUCUUCUGAGCUUUCUUUGUACCUUCGUAUUCACAUGCAAACCUAGUGUAGUGCUGCUUAAUUUGAGAAAAGAAUAGCAGUGGGCUGUAUUCAGUGAAUCCUAGUGGGAUUCAUGGAUUUUCCCGGUCUCCCCAUCAGUCAGACAUGAUGCCUUACAGAAUGCUAGAAAGGCCUGUUGUAGACUCCACUCCAGUGUCAGCUUGGACUACUAGUUCUGCAGUCAACAUGCUGAUCUACAGGAUGUGGAAUAUAAUUUAAGCCAGAAAACAAGCACCUGUGCUUCUCCAAAGUCCAGAAAUGGUGGAUCUGGGAACCUGGGGUUAGAGGUAAGCAUAGAACUUUUUAUGAUUACAGAUGAAUUCUCCUCACCAAAUGUUUUUAGAUUUUAGAACACAAGGAAAGGAGAAUGGUUCUCCAUGGGAAAUGGGUAAUGCCAUUACUGCUUCCAUAUUAUUUUUUGCCUUGAUUCUUCAAUUUACAUGUAGUAUUUUACAUUGGCAGUGUUUAAGGUUAACGUUUAGUCCAUAGGUUUUUGAAUUUCAUCAAAUCCAACAGUUCUACAGAAGCCAUGCACUUCAUCUGGAGGACUUUGUCUCAAGGAAUGGCCCCAUGACACCAGCUAUUUAUACAUACAAACAGGAAUUGACUUUGGGAUUGGCUUGGACUUUGGGUUGUUUUCAUUGUUCAUGAUAUGUGCUUUAGUACUUACUCAAGAGAUGGUUUUAAAUAUUUUACAUACGGGGACGGGUCAAAACAUGUAUGUACUGUAUCUAUGUACUGGGGUGGAAGGCAGCAGUCUCAGGCUGAUUGGUCUGUCCAGGAAGCAGCUUUUCUCUGAGACCUUUCCACACCCUUCUGUUUCCUAUGUGACUGGCCAUAGCUACUUGGUUUGGUACCUUUCACCUCACCCUAGUUGAGCCAGUCAUGCUCUUGAAAUUAGACUGAAGAAUGAGUGACAACCUGUUAAGUCUCGUUAAUACUUUUUCACUACAGAUAAUGUAAUUUAGAAGUCCUGCCAUUGAGUUCACCUCAAUCGGCCUCAUUUCUGUGUUUUCAAAGUGUUUGUCACUUUGGUUUCUUGCAUUUUAUAAAAUAUUUGUGUUCUUCCAAUAAAAUGU
rnacentral:lncRNA from 1 species